GACGAACGCUGGCGGCGUGCCUAAUACAUGCAAGUCGAACGCAGUGGGGACGGGUGAGUAACACGUGGGUAACCUCCCAUCAGAGGGGAUAACACUUGGAAACAGGUGCUAAACCGAUACUGAUGGAUGGACCCGCGGUGCAUUAGCUAGUUGGUGAGGUAACGGCUCACCAAGGCCACGAUGCAUAGCCGACCGGGAGGGGGAGUCGGCCCACCUGGGAAUGGGACCCGGCCCCGACCCCUACGGGAGGCAGCCGGAGGGAAUCUUCGGCAAUGGACGAAAGUCUGACCGAGCAACGCGGCGUGAGUGAAGAAGGUUUUCGGAUCGUAAAACUCUGUUGUUAGAGAAGCGGUAUCUAACCAGAAAGCCACGGCUAACUACGUGCCAGCAGCCGCGGUAAUUC
rnacentral:rRNA from 1 species